rnacentral:rRNA from 1 species
GUUAAAAAGCUCGUAGUUGGAUCUCAACAGCCUUGAAGCGGUUAACUUUGUAGUUUUACUGCUUUAUAGGCUGUGCUUUUGCUGGAGGUUUAGGGGUGCUCUUGAUCGAGUGUCUCUGGAUGCCAGCAGGUUUACUUUGAAAAAAUUAGAGUGCUCAAAGCAGGCUAAAAUGCCUGAAUAUUCGUGCAUGGAAUAAUAGAAUAGGAUGUCGAUCCUAUUUUGUUGGUUUUCGGGACUCGACAUAAUGAUAAAUAGGGACAGUCGGGGGCAUUUGUAUUCAAACGACAGAGGUGAAAUUCUUGGACCGUUUGAAGACAAACUACUGCGAAAGCAUUUGCCAAGAAUGUUUUCAUUAAUCAAGAACGAAAGUUAGAGGUUCGAAGGCGAUUAGAUACCGCCCUAGUUCUAACCAUAAACGAUGCCAGCUAGCGAUCUGCCUGCGUUUUUACUGUAGACUGGGCAGGAAGCUUCCGGGAAACCAAAGCAUUUGGGUUCCAGGGGAAGUAUGGUUGCAAAGCUGAAACUUAAAGGAAUAGACGGAAGGGCACCACCAGGAGUGGAGCCUGUGGCUUAAUUUGACUCAACACGGGAAAUCUCACCAGGCCCGGACACUGGAAGGAUUGACAGAUUGAUAGCUCUUUCUUGAUUCGGUGGGUGGUGGUGCAUGGCGU